CCUACGGGAGACAGCAGUAGGGAAUUUUCGGCAAUGGGGGGAACCCUGACCGAGCAACGCCGCGUGAACGAAGAAGUUUUUCGUAAUGUAAAGUUCUUUUAACAGGGAAGAAAGAGAAAUUUGACGGUACCUGAAGAAUAAGCUCCGGCUAACUACGUGCCAGCAGCCGCGGUAAUACGUAGGGAGCGAGCGUUAUCCGGAAUCAUUGGGCGAAAGGGGUGGGUAGAUGGCAUAGUAAGUCUUUUGUAAAAAUGCUGGGCUCAACCCGGUAGGGCAAAAGAUACUGCAAAGCUAGAGUAUGACAGAGGCAAGUGGAACUACAAGUGUAGCGGUAAAAUGCGUAAAUAUAUGUAAGAACACCAGUGGCGAAGGCGGCUUGCUGGGUCGAUACUGACAUUGAGGCACGAAAGCGUGGGGAGCAAACAGGAUUAGAUACCCGAGUAGUC
rnacentral:rRNA from 1 species